rnacentral:rRNA from 1 species
AUUGAACGCUGGCGGCAUGCCUUACACAUGCAAGUCGAACGGUAACAGGUCUUCGGAUGCUGACGAGUGGCGAACGGGUGAGUAAUACAUCGGAACGUGCCCGAUCGUGGGGGAUAACGGAGCGAAAGCUUUGCUAAUACCGCAUACGAUCUACGGAUGAAAGCAGGGGACCGCAAGGCCUUGCGCGGACGGAGCGGCCGAUGGCAGAUUAGGUAGUUGGUGGGAUAAAAGCUUACCAAGCCGACGAUCUGUAGCUGGUCUGAGAGGACGACCAGCCACACUGGGACUGAGACACGGCCGAGACUCCUACGGGAGGCAGCAGUGGGGAAUUUUGGACAGUGGGCGAAAGCCUGAUCCAGCCAUGCCGCGUGCAGGAUGAAGGCCUUCGGGUUGUAAACUGCUUUUGUACGGAACGAAAAGACUCUUUCUAAUAAAGAGGGUCCAUGACGGUACCGUAAGAAUAAGCACCGGCUAACUACGUGCCAGCCGCCGCUGUAAAAC